rnacentral:tRNA from 1 species
UGCGGGGUGGAGAAGUUGGAAUCUCGUUAGGCUCAUAACCUGAAGAUCGCCCUUUCGAUACGGGCCUCCGCAUCCA